UAUUGCGCUCUUGGUAUCUGCUGCUAACUUCUGACUGCCAUUUCCUCCGCAGAUCAGGUAGGCUUGACUCCUGAAGAGGUUAUUUCUAAAAUUAUGGCAAAUCCUGAUGUUGCUUUGGCAUUUCAAAACCCUAAAGUGCAAGCUGCAAUCAUGGACUGCUCUCAGAAUCCUCUCAGCAUCGCUAAGUAUCAAAAUGACAAGGAGGUUAUGGAUGUGUUCACCAAGAUUUCGGAACUCUUUCCUGGAGUGACUGGCAGCCUCUAAGUUCUUUUCUUCUGGUUGAUUCCCCAACUUCUGAAGACUAGCGAGGUAAAAACUGGCUAAUCCCUGAUCCAGUUUCAUCUCAGAUCACGAACCACAACGCUUGAUUUGUCAGCUUAGGUCUAUUUUAUAGCCCCAUUGGAUGUGCUUGUAAUUCGGAAGAGAGCAAAUUUGUGAGUGCUCCGAUUACUUCUGUAUAACCUUCUCUGUCUGUGCAAAGCAGAUUGUGAUAUAUGAAACAUGGAAAAUAGCACGUCUUGUAAUAGGCUGUGAGCAGGCUUAAAAGAGUCGAUUGCAUAUUUUUUUUAUUAUAUGUAGAGUCUUUGGGAUCGCUUAAUGAUAUUGGAUGGUUAAAUUCCA